rnacentral:rRNA from 1 species
AACGAACGCUGGCGGCAUGCCUAACACAUGCAAGUCGAACGAGACCUUCGGGUCUAGUGGCGCACGGGUGCGUACCGCGUGGUAACCUACCCUUAAGUUCGGUAUCACUCCCCUAAAGGGGUGCUAAUACCGCUUGAUCUCUUCGGACCAAAGAUUUAUCGCCUUUGGAUGGGCCCGCGUUGGAUUAGCUAGUUGGUAGGGUACAAGCCUACCAAGGCGACGAUCCAUAGCUGGUCUGAUAGGAGGAUAAGCCACACUUGGACUGAGACACGGACUAGAAUGGGAGGGAGGGCAGGAGUGGGUAAUACUGGACAAUGGGCGAAAGCGUAGUAAAGCAAUGCGGGGUGAGAGAGGAAGGGGGUAGGGUUGUAAAGCGGUUUGACACGGGAUGAGAAUGACAGUAACGGGAGAAUAAGCUCCGGCUAACUCCGUG